rnacentral:rRNA from 1 species
UCGAGGGGAAACGAUAUUGGAAGCUUGCUUCCGAUAGGCGUCGACCGGCGCACGGGUGAGUAACGCGUAUCCAACCUGCCCGCCACUUGGGGAUAACCUUGCGAAAGUAAGACUAAUACCCAAUGACGUCUCUAGAAGACAUCUGAAAGAGAUUAAAGAUUUAUCGGUGAUGGAUGGGGAUGCGUCUGAUUAGCUUGUUGGCGGGGUAACGGCCCACCAAGGCAACGAUCAGUAGGGGUUCUGAGAGGAAGGUCCCCCACACUGGUACUGAGACACGGACCAGACUCC